rnacentral:rRNA from 1 species
AACGAACGCUGGCGGCAGGCUUAACACAUGCAAGUCGAACGCGCCCUUCGGGGCGAGUGGCAGACGGGUGAGUAACGCGUGGGAACCUACCUUUUGGUACGGAAUAACUCAGGGAAACUUGAGCUAAUACCGUAUGUGCCCUUCGGGGGAAAGAUUUAUCGCCAAAGGAUGGGCCCGCGUCGGAUUAGCUAGUUGGUGGGGUAAUGGCCUACCAAGGCGACGAUCCGUAGCUGGUCUGAGAGGAUGAUCAGCCACACUGGGACUGAGACACGGCCCAGACUCCUACGGGAGGCAGCAGUGGGGAAUAUUGGACAAUGGGGGCAACCCUGAUCCAGCCAUGCCGCGCGAGUGAUGAAGGCCUUAGGGUUGUAAAGCUCUUUCGCCGGUGAAGAUAAUGACGGUAACCGGAGAAGAAGCCCCGGCUAACUUCGUGCCAGCAGCCGCCGUAACAC